rnacentral:rRNA from 1 species
UACGAAGGGUGCAAGCGUUACUCGGAAUUACUGGGCGUAAAGCGUGCGCAGGCGGUUCGCUAAGACCGAUGUGAAAUCCCCGGGCUUAACCUGGGAACUGCAUUGGUGACUGGCGGGCUAGAGUAUGGCAGAGGGGGGUAGAAUUCCACGUGUAGCAGUGAAAUGCGUAGAGAUGUGGAGGAAUACCGAUGGCGAAGGCAGCCCCCUGGGCCAAUACUGACGCUCAUGCACGAAAGCGUGGG